CUACGGGCGGCUGCAGUCGAGAAUCAUUCGCAAUGGGCGAAAGCCUGACGAUGCGACGCCGUGUGAACGAAGAAGGCCCUCGGGUUGUAAAGUUCUUUCGCCUGGGAACAAGCGACACUAGUGAAUAAUUAGUAAAGUUGAGGGUACCAGGUAAAGAAGCACCGGCUAACUCCGUGCCAGCAGCUGCGGUAAUACGGAGGGUGCAAGCAUUAAUCGGAUUUAUUGGGCGUAAAGGGCGCGUAGGCGUUUUAGCAAGUCACUUUUGAAAUUCCGCGGCUUAACCGCGGAACUGGAAGUGAAACUGUUAGAAUUGAGGGUAGUCGGAGAAAGUGGAAUUCCACGUGUAGCGGUGAAAUGCGUAGAUAUGUGGAGGAAUACCGGUGGCGAAGGCGACUUUCUAGACUGCACCUGACGCUGAGGCGCGAAAGCAAGGGGAGCAAACAGGAUUAGAUACCCUGGUAGUC
rnacentral:rRNA from 1 species